CUGCUUUGAAUCAGCCCAAGUUUCAUUAGUUUUCAUAUUAGCUUUGACCAUCACAAUGUUGCGUUGCACGAAGAAACCAUUAUCAACAUUUAUUUCUUUUAAGCAGACAAUUUCUCCAAGGUUUGAUGGAACCUGUAGGUCUUGUUCAUUAAAUUUAUGAGAAUCAUAAUAGGCAAGUUUUCCGACUUUUUUAACAUCCGACGGAAAUUCAGCAUCAAAAUAGCCUUCUUUUGAAGGAUCAGAAAUAGAUGUCACCUUUUCUUCUAACAUUAUAGCAGAAUCUUUUAUUUCAUUAAGCUCUUCCUUAAAAUGAGAAUCUCAAAAAGUUUUUUCCAUGACUAUCUUUUCUUCCACUAUAUCUUUACGACCUUGUACAUUAUAAAAUUAUUUAGGUAACUCCUUUAUCUCUUCUUUCAGUUCCAUUGCCACACAAAUGGACUUGAUCCUAUCUUUGCUGAAUUGUUGCCCUAUAUCCCAGUAUGAUCUUAAGGUACUUUAUUAUGGCUUUCAACUGAAAUAAGCUUCACUAUUCUUGCAUCUGCACGUCUGCCAGUUCUCUGAGAAAAGAGGUGCUUGACUUCUUUGUCUACAUUUCUUUUCUACAAGUCUUCCACCACAAAACAAAGAUCUUUCACCAACUUGAUUUUUGAAAAUCGAGAAGUUUCUUCCAUUUUUCCAAAUUCUUCUCUUGGAGUCUUUUUGAAAAUAGGUUGGUCAUAUCCAUUCUGAUGUUGAUAAUAGGAGAUACCUUAAACAAUUUCGUCAUCCCUUCCCAAUUGAUAAUACGAGCUUGGCCUC
rnacentral:lncRNA from 1 species